rnacentral:rRNA from 1 species
UUUAACUGAAGAGUUUGAUCAUGGCUCAGAUUGAACGCUGGCGGCAGGCUUAACACAUGCAAGUCGAGCGGGGGAAGGUAGCUUGCUACUGGACCUAGCGGCGGACGGGUGAGUAAUGCUUAGGAAUCUGCCUAUUAGUGGGGGACAACAUCUCGAAAGGGAUGCUAAUACCGCAUACGUCCUACGGGAGAAAGCAGGGGAUCUUCGGACCUUGCGCUAAUAGAUGAGCCUAAGUCGGAUUAGCUAGUUGGUGGGGUAAAGGCCUACCAAGGCGACGAUCUGUAGCGGGUCUGAGAGGAUGAUCCGCCACACUGGGACUGAGACACGGCCCAGACUCCUACGGGAGGCAGCAGUGGGGAAUAUUGGACAAUGGGGGGAACCCUGAUCCAGCCAUGCCGCGUGUGUGAAGAAGGCCUUAUGGUUGUAAAGCACUUUAAGCGAGGAGGAG